AGCGAACGCUGGCGGCAGGCCUAACACAUGCAAGUCGAACGAGCCCUUCGGGGUUAGUGGCGGACGGGUGAGUAACACGUGGGAACGUGCCUUUAGGUUCGGAAUAACUCAGGGAAACUUGUGCUAAUACCGAAUGUGCCCUUCGGGGGAAAGAUUUAUCGCCUUUAGAGCGGCCCGCGUCUGAUUAGCUAGUUGGUGAGGUAAUGGCUCACCAAGGCUACGAUCAGUAGCUGGUCUGAGAGGAUGACCAGCCACAUUGGGACUGAGACACGGUCCAGACUCCUACGGGAGGCAGCAGUGGGGAAUCUUGCGCAAUGGGGGCAACCCUGACGCAGCCAUACCGCGUGAGUGAUGAAGGUCUUCGGAUUGUAAAGCUCUUUCGGCGGGGACGACGAUGACGGUACCCGCAAAAGAAGUCACGGCUAACUUCGUGCCAGCCGCCGCCGUAACAC
rnacentral:rRNA from 1 species